GGGGCUGUGACUCAGAGGUAAAGUAUCUGUCUGGCAUAUGGAAGGUUCCAGGUUCAAUCCUCAGUAUCUCCA
rnacentral:tRNA from 1 species